CAAACAUUGAUUUUUACUUUACCAGUAGCAUGACAGUGGGAAAGGAAACUACCUUCCCAGUACACCUAGGAUGGAUCAAGAUCCAGAAAUGACACAUGAAAGAAAAGAAGAAAACACUGGGAGAAUACGAGGACUCAAAGAUGUGUAUUCUAGAUGUGGCCCAAGAGAAAGAAGAUACAGCAUCUAUGUUUCCAGCUUGUAAAAGCAGAACCCCAAUUUUGCUUCAGAUACUCCUCAGCCUGCGGGAAAUUAACUCCCUCUUCUGGCUUAAAGGAUGAGCCUAAUUGAUCUAAGGGUAAGUGACUGGCUCAGGAAAGGGACAAUGAUUCCAUUCACGACAGUGAGACUCAAAGAGAUGCUUGCCAGGGACUGCUGGCAAUGUCCAUCGUCCUUUCUCUGAGACCUUCUGGAAGUUUGCUUUGCCAGAGCGUCACUGUGUAUGAACUAAGGCCCUGGACUGUUGCAGCCUUACUGCCAGCCUGAAGAUAAAGUCAUCCC
rnacentral:lncRNA from 10 species